UACGUAGGGUGCGAGCGUUGUCCGGAAUUAUUGGGCGUAAAGGGCUCGUAGGCGGUUUGUCGCGUCGGGAGUGAAAACCCAGGGCUUAACCCUGGGCUGGCUUCCGAUACGGGGCAGACUAGAGGUAUGCAGGGGAGAACGGAAUUCCUGGUGUAGCGGUGAAAUGCGCAGAUAUCAGGAGGAACACCGGUGGCGAAGGCGGGUCUCUGGGCAGUGAACUGACGCUGAGACGCGAAAGCGUGGGGAGCAAACAGG
rnacentral:rRNA from 1 species